rnacentral:rRNA from 1 species
UACGGAGGGUGCGAGCGUUAUCCGGAUUCACUGGGUUUAAAGGGUGCGUAGGUGGGAAUGUAAGUCAGUGGUGAAAUCUCUGAGCUUAACCCAGGACGUGCAUGUUAGACUGGUACGCUAGAGUACGAUAGAGGGUAGUGGAAUUUCCGGUGUAGCGGUGAAAUGCGUAGAUAUCGGAAGGAACAUCAGUGGCGAAGGCGGCUACCUGGAUUGAUACUGACACUGAGGCGCGAGAGCGUGGGGAGCAAACAGG